UACAGAGGGGGCAAGCGUUGUUCGGAAUUACUGGGCGUAAAGGGCGCGUAGGCGGCCUUCUAAGUCGAACGUGAAAUCCCCGGGCUCAACCCGGGAACUGCGUCCGAGACUGGAAGGCUUGAAUCCGGGAGAGGGAUGUGGAAUUCCAGGUGUAGCGGUGAAAUGCGUAGAUAUCCUGGAGGAACAUCGGUGGCGAAGGCGGCAUCCUGGACCGGUAUUGACGCUGAGGCGCGAAAGCCAGG
rnacentral:rRNA from 1 species